CUCUGUCUGAGGAUACUCUCUCUCCAGACCAGAGAACAACACUGAAACCUGUACCCAGUGAACCAGGUUGGCUGUUCUCUCCUGUAAGACCAUGGAGACUUCAGAAAAGUGUGUGUGGAUUUUUAAACUGGAUUUUACUGAGUGACCUGACUCCCACAGAAAGAAGCCUUUCCACAUAUCCAAAGCUUUCUGCCUAACCCAGAGGGAUCACAGUGGGAAAGAGGGGCAGGAGGAGGAUGAGUCAAGUACCUGGGUCCACGACAUUUUUAUCUCAGUCCAUCACUCUGAGCAAGACUAACACAGGCACACAGGUGCCCUGUCCCCAGCAGGGGAGUGUUUCUGCCACCCAUCUUUUGACCUCCUGCAGCUCUAACCUGCAAAUGAUGGCUGUCAAACCAGGGACGCCUGAGGAGCUGCUUUGGGCAUGUGUAGCACCACUCCACCUUUGCCUUCAAGGAGUUGCUCCAUUGGAAGCAUCACUUUUUUUCAGGACAGAUUCAGGAUGAGAGGCUGCACCAACCUUGCUGAAAAGCACAUUGAUCCCUCCCUCCCUGGCAAGAUCCUGCCCAGAUCACCAAGUGCUCCCAGGAUUUGUCACUUUUUUUUUUCAGAGGAUGACAAGUUUGGCAUCCAGAAAUUGUUUGUACACUGAGAAAAGACCGAACAAUGAGAGAAGUCCUAAAUCUACCCAUAGACCAAAAUAAGAAAAAGGUGUUUUUUUCAGAAACACAUGAUAGUUUUUUUAUUCUUGAGACAUCUCUCGCCCAGACCUGAGGGCAGAAUGUCUUAUAUUCCUGCAAGAUGGAUAAUAAGGAUGAUAAGCAGGGAAGGGAAGCAGACUUUGCUUAAAGCCAUUAAGCCUCUCCACAAAACAGGCUGGGCUCUGUGGAGACUGAAGGCAUUCCCUGUCAUUUCUAUGAAAAUUAUAUGUACUCAGCAGCCUAAUAAUACUCUAGCAUGUUGUAAUGAUUUACAUAAAAAGAAGUCAAAACAAGGGAAGAGGGAGUGAGCAAGAAAUGGGGUAUCUCCAAAGAGAGCCCAGGGGAACUUGAUGGUUCAGGUGUUCAGGAAAGGAAGGGACUGGGAGAAGAUGCAUGUCUUGGGGUACCCUGUGUUUACAGAGAUUUCCUCUGUGCACAGGGGAACGUGAGGGGAACAUAUGGGGAAGGGGGUGGUGGGGAAGGAUGGUCCAAGCCUGAUGCUUGUCCGGGCACUGAGGCACAACACAGAUGUAGUGUUGCCAUGUUGUGCUAUUUAGUGUAUACCCCUGUGGGCUUGGAUAGGUGAGUUAAGAGGCAGUACACCACUACCAGUGGUAUGUAUCCAUGUCCCCCUGUUGUGUCAAGGGGAGGACAGCAUGUUGUGGUCAGAUGACUGUGGAGAGGCAUGAAGGAAAGUGGGAGAAAGGGCUGAAAUGGGAGAAAGGGGUGAUUUUUCCUUCUUAUGGUGCCCUCGUGCACACAGCAGUGUUGUGGCAGGAUGGUCACCCCAACACCCUGGGAUGCUGCAGGCUCCCUAAAAGCUGUCUGGAGUGGGAUGGAUGCCACAGGUCACAGUCCUGCUCUUGAUCCCCUCUGUGUUGCACGAGCAGGCAUUAUCCCAAGGCCUUUGUCUCUGGCACCACAAACCUCCGGGUGAAAUACAGCUAUCUAUUUCAGCCUUAUCAGAAGGAGCUGUGACAGAUGUAUUCAUAUCCUCUUACACUAACUUGUGUGGUAAUCUGUGAGGCUUCUCCUGCCUCGAUUAUUCACAAGGCGAUAAUUCAGAUACCCCACAGACACAGAGUGAGCUGCAGAUCUUCUAAAAAGGCUUUUUCAUUUUCUCUCAGAAGCUUUUAGAAGAACCUUAGAUGGACCAGAGACUUGUAAUUUAUUUUAUAAUUUAUGUAAGUAAUUUUGGAGCAUGAUGGAAUAACGUGAGCUUCGUUAGGAUUCUCCAAACCCCACCAGAAGCUAUACCAGAAGAGGAAAGCCCUGUUGUUUCCAAGGAGCCAGUAGAAAACAUGAUAUUUCUCAAUGUCACUGUAUUUGCUAAUGAGACUAGAAAGGAGAUUAUGUUUUAUUAAUGUGAUUCUUUUUAAGAUCAUCCACAGAAUUUCUAUUUGUGCUUAACCUUCUUCUUGCUAUUGCUACCUCUCUUGCUUUUUUUUCAGUGAUUCUUGCUGUUUCAGAAGCACUUUACCUGUCAAGUCACAGAGAGCUGCUUAUCCUCACAGAGCUUCUUAUUUCAGGAUGUCCAGCAGCUAAUUCUGCAAACUGGUGUGUCCUUGACCUGAAAGGCAAAUACCAUUUACUGGUAUCAAAGCAACAGAUUAGUCCCCUGAAUUUUCUUGUGCAUCAUUAAAAAAAAAAAAUAUUGCAGCUGUCACAAGAAAAAGAAUAUAAUUUUUACUUGCCUGUCUUCAACAUUUCUCAUUCCUUUGCAACUUUAACUUACUUCAUCUAGGAGAAAGAGCUUUUAAGGACGUAGCAACCUCCUGCUAUCCCUGCAAAGCUACUACUGGUAAUUUUUGAAAACAAACAAGGAUUUGUCAGUUGUGGCUUAGUCUUCCUCAAUAACCAUUGUGACUCUUGUUUAACCUUCAAAAUGCUGCUUGCAUAUGCUUCUCCUUCCACUCCCAAAAUGAGAUUAGUGCAACAAUUCAGCAAAGUGUUGCAGAAACAAGAUUUUCAAGCAUGCAGAGUGGCCACCAUGGACAAUUUUAAGCAUUCAGACUUUGGGAUUAUACUUAAUUCUCAUGUAAAACGCUAUCAGUGAGGCUUUGAGGCAGCUGGGAAAGAAGUUAUGACUAAUAUGAUUAUUGCUGGUCAGCACUGGCACUGAACAGCCCUUGUUUUGGCUGGGGCACCAGAGAGCCAUUACAUAACAGGGGUUUUCAGUCACUGCCUGUCUUUGUAAGUGGUCAUUUUUGUAAUGAUAACCCACAGGUAGACAUUUUGACACCAGUUCAAUAACUACAGCCCUCACUGAUACGGUAGAAACCAGAGCAAUUGGCUGCUAUUUGAGAGCUAGGGAGUUUGUUCUUAUCCAACAGCUGAAUUAAACUUCCUAGAAAGCCAGCCAUGAUGCAGCAGGAUGGGAUAUGAGGGGCUUAUCCCUUGACAGAGCUAACCAGAAAGGCUUCUAGGGAUCCCAGAUGGUGCUCUUCAACAAAUGAGCCUCAGAAAGCCUCAGUAAAAGAAAUGGAACAGGAAUGAGCCAGCUCAGCGAUGGGAUAACUUGUCAGAGCAGUUCUGGGGCUCCAGAGAAAGCAUGUGGCCAAACAGAUGGUCCCAGGCAGAGUAGCUUGAGAGGUUUCCACCUCUUGGAAGCAUGAAUUCUUGGCUGCAUUUACUUCUCAGUGUUAGCCACCAGUUUUACAGAAGUCCUGGUUUUACUGGUCUCUGUGUGUAAUGCAGAUGAUCCGUAAGCUUGGAUUAAUACUGGACAUGCAAUAUUUUUGGUAUUAUGUUUAGCCAGUUGGUUUUCACUCCCAUAAACGACUGAGAGCAACAAGCCAUACGGCCUCAGAGAAACUCAGGAGAUGGGUCCCACUAUCUGCGUGAGCAGAUGUUUUGUGGAGUUCAGUGAGGGAAUUUAGAAAAUUUCUCACGGCCUUAUCCAGUGUUCAUAGGAGUAUGUAGAGCAUAGCAUAAUUUUUGGCUUUGCCAUGACUUAGUUCGUAUAGGGAAGCAUUCUGAUUCCCUUACGAGUAAAGGAGAAGUUUGAGGGCUUUUUUUCCCACCAGUUAAAUGAACCUGGGAAGUACCAUCAUAAAAAAAACAUCACAAAGCACUCGAGCAGAUU